AAUAAAGAUGGUUGAUGUUGAAGAGUGCGCAUAAUGUCCUUGAUUUGUAGUUCUUUAAGCUAUAUUAGAUCAACAUAGUCAAGUUUUUUAAAGAUAAAAUUGAAGGACUUUUCAUGGACAGUGUAAUUGUAACUUCUUAAUUACAAAUGUAGCUAAUUUGUAUGAAAACAAAAAUAAUUCAUCCAAGAGCAGGCUGUAUUUUAAUCCCAUUUCAAUGCCAUUAGUCUGAUGGAAGAUCUACAAAGAUGUAAAAAAAAAACAACACACAAAUAAAACUACAAUGUACAGUUAUCGUUCUAAAACAAAACUAGAAUAAAAGAUUGGGUAAUCAGAUACUUAUGAGAUUUUCCUUUGUAUAUUUCAUAUAUUUCUAAAAUAGAAUUGUUUGUUCUUUAAGAUUUUAUAAGUGGUUGUGUAGAAUGGUGAAGAGUGUGAUACAUUCUGUACAUAUGUUAUAACCUACAGCAAUAUCAAUGGUAUUGGGUGCUUUGUUAGAAGUGUGAUUGGUAGCAGGACACUUACAUACAAGGACUAAGGGUAGGACACAUACAUACUAGGACUAAGGGUAGGACACAUACAUACUAGGACUGAGGGUAGGACACAUACAUACUAGGACUGAGGUGACAUGACACAUACAUACUAGGACUAAGGGUAGUAGGACACAUACAUACUAGGACUGAGGGUAACAGGACACAUACAUACUAGGACUAAGGGUAGUAGGACAUAUACAUACUAGGACUAAGGGUAGUAGGACAUAUACAUACUAGGACUAAGGUUAGGACACAUACAUACUAGGACUAAGGGUAGGACACAUACAUACUAGGACUGAGGGUAGGACACAUACAUACUAGGACUAAGGGUAGUAGGACAUAUACAUACUAGGACUAAGGGUAGGACACAUACAUACUAGGACUAAGGGUAGGACACAUACAUACUAGGACUAAGGGUAGUAGGACACAUACAUACUAGGACUAAGGGUAGUAGGACACAUACAUACUAGGACUGAGGGUAGUAGGACACAUACAUACUAGGACUGAGGGUAGGACACAUACAUACUAGGACUGAGGGUAACAGGACACAUACAUACUAGGACUAAGGGUAGGACACAUACAUACUAGGACUAAGGGUAGGACACAUACAUACUAGGACUAAGGGUAACAGGACACAUACAUACUAGGACUAAGGGUAACAGGACACAUACAUACUAGGACUAAGGGUAACAGGACACUUACAUACUAGGACUAAGGGUAACAGGACACAUACAUACUAGGACUGAGGGUAACAGGACACAUACAUACUAGGACUAAGGGUAACAGGACACAUACAUACUAGGACUAAGAGUAGCAGGACACAUACAUAUUAGGACUAAGGGUAGGACACAUACAUACUAGGACUAAGGGUAGGACACAUACAUACUAGGACUAAGGGUAGGACACAUACAUACUAGGACUAAGGGUAACAGGACACAUACAUACUAGGACUAAGGGUAACAGGACACAUACAUACUAGGACUAAGGGUAACAGGACACUUACAUACUAGGACUAAGGGUAACAGGACACAUACAUACUAGGACUGAGGGUAACAGGACACAUACAUACUAGGACUAAGGGUAACAGGACACAUACAUACUAGGACUGAGGGUAACAGGACACAUACAUACUAGGACUAAGGGUAACAGGACACAUACAUACUAGGACUGAGGGUAGGACACAUACAUACUAGGACUAAGGGUAACAGGACACAUACAUACUAGGACUAAGGGUAGUAGGAUACAUACAUACUAGGACUAAGGAUAACAGGACACAUACAUACUAGGACUAAGGGUAACAGGACACAUACAUACUAGGACUAAGGAUAACAGGACACAUACAUACUAGGACUAAGGGUAACAGGACACAUACAUACUAGGACUAAGGGUAACAGGACACAUACAUACUAGGACUAAGGGAAGCAGGACAUACAUACUAGGACUAAGGGUAGUAGGACACAUACAUACUAGGACUAAGGGAAGCAGGACAUAUAUAUAUACAAUGUACUAACAUAUGGAGGUUAUGUUUAGAGACCAUCUUAAAAUAUAUGUAUCAGCUUAAAACAACAAGUGUGAAACAAGGCAACUUCACAAAUGACAUACUGGUAUAUAAUAAGGCACUGUCAGAAACCCAGGUGAUACUAGAAAAGAUGAAUGACAAUAUCAAAAAUAAUAACUAGAAAAAAUGUAAUAUCAAAAAUAAUAGGUGUAAAAUCAGGUAGAAAUGUGGACCAAGGUUUACCUACAGGAUUGAAACAUCUUUGUCAGCCUUAACUCAGCUCUCUCUAAUCUUGUCUUUUAAUUCCUUUGUAAUCUGGUCAUUUAGAAGAGAAAUACUGCAUGUAUAAUGUUUAUUAGAUAAAGCCACUAGCAAUGAGGGCGAGGAAUCCGAUGUUGUUUCCAUGGCACUAGAUACACAUUCUACAGUGUGAACAAAUUGGAUCAUAUAAAUAUGAGUAUAAAGGAUCAAAGGGAUGAAAGGCAAUUGAACAACUGUAUCUGAUGAACAAAUCCACAUUAAUCAAUGCUCCCAUGCCAAUGGGUUUUUCAUGCAGUGCUUUGUGAACCUAUUAAAAAGGGUUGAACACAUUAAGAUUUUAAAGAUUUUCUCAAUAUCAAUAGUCUAAUGAGAAAAAAAAUCAAACAUAUGGUUUGAAAUAGCAUUGGAAACUCCCUAGUAUUUUGUUUUUGGUGCACAAGUGUUUUUAUUGAAUAAGCACGGAAUGUGAAGUGUGAGAGAUGUUAUCAUUAGUCAUAAACAUGGACACAGUACAUGACAGUGUGAUUACUUUGUGUCCUCAUACACCGUCACAAACAAACCUCACUGCUAAAGGGUUACAGUUAUUUAAUAGAUUUGGCCAACAUCAAUGAUUCCAUUUCUAUAAAAAUACAUGUAUGGUUGACACUUUCAUUUCUGUGUAAUAAUUCAUUGUUUGAUAUUACAUAUAUGUCUUUAAAUGUUCACCUGUAAAGUUUGCAAAAGCUCAUGCUAUUUUUUGAGAUAUUUUGAUAUGUUGUUAAGAAUACUUGUUACCUUAGUCAUUGAAUACUCGACAAAAUGUUUAAUUACUUCUCAAUGACUAUGUAGGUAUACCAAUAUUGGUAUGUAAUAUUGAAUGCUAUGCAAUUAAAAUUCCUGCUGUCCAAAAGUAAAUGACUGGAUUCCUAAAGAGACACUUGACUCACUUGUUCUGUGUGUUACAGCACAAUGCCCUCUGUCUAUAUCUGAUAGUGCCUAAACAUACAUUCUGUUAAUUGUUUUUAUGUCACAAAAACUCCAUAUUUUGUGUAAGCAUAACCAAUAAAAUUUGGUGUAACAGUUAAA